rnacentral:misc_RNA from 1 species
CAACCCCUCAAGCCCUGCUUGGUGUUGGGGCCCUACCUACGCCGUAGGCCCCGAAUUCCAGUGGCGGGCUCGCCGCGAUCCCGAGCGUAGUAGUGUUACCUCGCUCAGGGCGCGCGGCGGGUGCCGGCCGUGAAAAAACCCCCCUUUAUCACACAA